UGCUUUUUGUAAAUAUAAAAAGUAUUACCUGCCCACUGAUUUUUUUUAAAUGGCCGCAGUAUUUUGACUGUGCAAAGGUAGCAUAAUCAUUUGCUUUAUAAAUUAAAGCUUGUAUGAAUGGUAUAAUGUAAAUAUAACUGUCUUUUAUAUAUAAAUAAAAUUUAUCCUCUCAGUGAAGAGACUGAAUAUGUUUAGAAAGACGAGAAGACCCUAAUGAGUUUUAUAUUAUGUUUAUAAAAAUAAAUAAUAUAUUUUAUUGGGGCGAUUAAAGAAUAUAUCUUCUUUUCGAAGAAGAAAGUAAUUAUUUAUGAUUCAUUAUUAAUGAGAAAAGGUUUAAAUUACCAUAGGGUUAACAGCAUAAUCUUUUUUAAAAGUACAUAUCGACAAAAAGGAUUGUGACCUCGAUGUUGGGUUAAGAUAAUUAUAUAAUGCAGAAAUUAUAUUAAUAAGUCUGUUCGACUUUUAAAGUCUUACA
rnacentral:rRNA from 1 species